rnacentral:misc_RNA from 1 species
AACGAGGCCGACCUGCGGCUGAGUUACCUGCGGAGGGAUCAUUACACAAUACAAUAUGAAGGCUGUCCGCAGCUGGAGUAUUUUAUUACCCUUGUCUUUUGCGCACUUGUUGUUUCCUGGGCGGGUUCGCUCGCCACCAGGACCACCAAACAAACCUUUUUUAUGCAGUUGCAAUCAGCGUCAGUACAAACAAUGUAAAUCAUUUACAACUUUUAACAAUGGAUCUCAGAUCGGAAGAGC